ACGGAAGGCAGCAGUGGGGAAUAUUGGGCAAUGGGCGCAAGCCUGACCCAGCAAUGCCGCGUGAAGGAAGAAGGCUUUCGGGUUGUAAACUUCUUUUAAGUGGGACGACAGUGACGGUACCUUAUGAAUAAGCCACGGCUAACUACGUGCCAGCAGCCGCGGUAAUACGUAGGUGGCAAGCGUUAUCCGGAUUUACUGGGUGUAAAGGGCGCGUAGGCGGGGAUGCAAGUCAGAUGUGAAAUCUAUGAGCUUAACUCAUAAACUGCAUUUGAAACUGUAUCUCUUGAGUGCUGGAGAGGUAGAUGGAAUUCCUUGUGUAGCGGUGAAAUGCGUAGAUAUAAGGAAGAACACCAGUGGCGAAGGCGAUCUACUGGACAGUAACCGACGCUGAGGCGCGAAAGCGUGGGGAGCAAACAGGAUUAGAUACCCUGGUA
rnacentral:rRNA from 1 species